UGCUCUGCCUCCCGUAACACGGUAGAUGAGCACGGACACGGGCCGAUGCUUCACUCUACGGGCCAAAAACCUCACGCCGGUGUCCGUUUAGAAAUAGCCAAAGAGACGGGACAACUCCCGUCUCUUAUGCAACUUUACAAGAAGACCCACAAGAAUAAGGCGGGCCAAUUUCUAAAUGGCAAGUCCGAGCAAAUCUUAAACGACUUGGUUGCUCAGGUUGACGACCGCCAGACCCAGCUGACCCAGCAGUCCACCGACGGAUUACCCGUCACCUUAUCCACACAUGAAGUGGAUAAGAUUUAAGAGGAGGUUGUCCCUAAGAAAAAGGGACGUACGUUGGGGAUUGGUUCCGUCAACGAUGUUCCGAGAGCGACAUCGUCUUAUGCUCAGACACGGGAAGAUGAAGUCACUGCGCUGCUUAGAGAGUCCGAGCAGCUGUGUAGAGAGUCCGAGCAGCUGCGUAGAGAGUCCACUCAGCUGCGUAAUGAGAUGGACUCGACGCGAUCUGCUUUCACAGCUCGUAUGGGUGGACUCGAGGGCUUCUUGGACGUUGUAGCGGCCACAAAUCCGGAAUGGGAGUCCUUGUUGAGGAACUUGCGAUGACAAAAUCCCAUUCCUGGCGAGUCAUCAUCCGACACACAUCCCGAGGCGAAUGUAGAGAGGAGGAGUGAUGAAUUCUACCGGACGAUGAACGACUCUUAUUUUUUUUUGGUUGUUGAAUUAUAAAUUCAAAACUUAUUUAUAUAUAAAAUAUUUUGGUAUUGAUUUUUUUUAAAAAAAAUUAAUUUUAUUAAUAGAUUAAAUAAUUUUAAUUAUUUUUAAAAAUUAUAUUUUUAAAUUCUGUAAAAUAAAAUAACGAAGUAAAUUCGUAGCUAAUUUACGACCUAUUUACGUGGAAACUUUACGAGAAAAUGACGAGAAAGAGUAAUCGAGUAGUUUACGAGGAUAUGACGAGGAAAGAUAAACGAGUACUUUACGAGGAAAUACUUUCGUGGUUGUUACGUGUACUUUACGAGGUAAAUCUUUCGAGAUAUUUACCUGUAGUUUACGAGGAACACAUUUCGAGGUAUUUACGAGGAAAUCUAGCGACCUCCUUACGUGGAAUAUUUACGUGGUCUUUACGACGAAAUGAUUACUUCGUCUUUACGACGAAAUAUUUUCCUUGCUAAUUUACGACGAAUUGGCGAGAAAAUAUGUGUUACGACGAACGAGUAACGACGAAACGUGUUUCCUCGCUAAUUCCUCGUAAAGCCUCUUUUACGAUGAACUCACGAGAAAAACCGCACUCGUUAAACUUAUGUUUUCUUGUAGUGAUUUGGCAAUGUUAGCGUCGCCGGAGUUGCCAAGUAAAGUACUCUAACCUCGAGAAUCACUUAUGCACCGGGUUGAAGUGAUUUUUGUUUAAGUGAAACAUUUGGAAAAAAAAAAGAAAACAAUGUAACUGACACUGUGAACAAACAGUUUUGCGUUAAGCAAUCUCAGUUUCAUUAUACUUAUGUUAUAUUUGGCGCCGAGGCAACCAUAAACACAGAGAAAAACUGAACAACAUUCGGGUAAACGUCCUAAGCAAUACUACAGUAAAGACAACUUUGAGAGUCUAACAUAGCGAGCAUAUUCAGAACUAUUUUACACUAUAGGUGGGGUAAUGUUUGUUAAACUUACAAAAGCACAUACAAAAUCUAAAGUUCAAGAUAUUUUUUUUACAAAAGUAACGUUGUUUCUUUGUAUAUAUUCUCACUAAUUGAGUCUUGCUCGAAAAAAGUUUCUGUUCCUCGCAAAUAAUUACGUCUGUUAAUCAAUCUUUAUCUCAUUUAGUUUUAAAAAAACAUUUGUAAAGCAAAAGAACUUUCCAAUUAAAAACUCUCAUAUAUAAAUCAAAGUUUUUUAAAUGCAUGUGUAGUAUAAUAUUA